CGUAAUGCUUCUGUCUUUUCUAGGACUUCCUGUAAAUGGGUUCACAGACUUCUUUCACAGACUCCUGCCUGGCAAUUGCUGAGCAAUAUCCCCCCUGUCACUCGGACCUGAGCUCUAUUGAGUCAAAGGAUGCACAGUGCGCUCUUGCUUCUUGUUCACCGUGAAGGAAGCAGUUGAGGACGGUCGAGUCCAAGUGUUGGUGGACAUAGGUCGUUAGUUUUGCGGGUGACACAUAGGAGUGAGGUGGUCGAAUCACGCGCUAAAAACUUCUGGAAUCCUGAGAAAACACAACACUCUGGCUGCACCACCUGGAAACUCCCAGUCAGCCUGGGACCUGAGGUGAUUUAUGCAAACACUCAGGGGCAGAUAUUCUUCACUUGGUACUGAUGAGCUGUCUUCCAUGCAAAUACGGGCUCUUCAUUUUACUGCAAGUCACGGUGCUGCCCUGGUCGUCUCCAGCUGGACUUGAAACUCAGUUUGAUAAAGAGUCCUGCGAAACAGUGCCUGCGGAGUCACAGCGCCAGGUUCCCGUGCUUUCCUGAAAUGCCAGGCUUGAGUUCCCUAUGAAGCAGGGCCUUGCUCGCCAAGCUCCCACGGCUUGCCCUUCAAAUGGCCUGAAUUAUCUGGCACUCUGCAUUGCCACUGAAAUGAAAAAGAAAAAAGUUUCAUUGGAAGCGAGCGUGCUCACCCAAACCCGCAAUGAUUGUGUAAACAUUCUGCCGUGAGACUCUGGAGCGCAGCUGCCCCCUGCUGGGGAGACCAAGGCGGCUGGUGGGAGCGAGGAACGUGCUAGCAUCUUUCCGCGGUGCACGCUAGCUGUGGUGCAUGACGGGAACCGAAACGCGGAACUAAAAAAGUCAAUCUUGCA